rnacentral:rRNA from 1 species
GAUGAACGCUGGCGGCGUGCCUAAUACAUGCAAGUCGAGCGAAUGGAUUAAGAGCUUGCUCUUAUGAAGUUAGCGGCGGACGGGUGAGUAACACGUGGGUAACCUGCCCAUAAGACUGGGAUAACUCCGGGAAACCGGGGCUAAUACCGGAUAACAUUUUGAACCGCAUGGUUCGAAAUUGAAAGGCGGCUUCGGCCGUCACUUAUGGAUGGACCCGCGUCGCAUUAGCUAGUUGGUGAGGUAACGGCUCAACAAGGCAACGAUGCGUAGCCGACCUGAGAGGGUGGUCGGCCACACUGGGACUGAGACACGGCCCAGACUCCUACGGGAGGCAGCAGUAGGGAAUCUUCCGCAAUGGUCGAAAGUCUGACGGAGCAACGCCGCGUGAGUGAUGAAGGCUUUCGGGUCGUAAAACUCUGUUGUUAGGGAAGAACAAGUGCUAGUUGAAUAAGCUGGCACCUUGACGGUACCUAACCAGAAAGCCACGGCUAACUACGUGCCAGCCGCCGCGGUAA